GAUGAACGCUGGCGGCGUGCCUAAUACAUGCAAGUCGAGCGAACCACUUCGGUGGUGAGCGGCGAACGGGUGAGUAACACGUAGGUGAUCUGCCCAUCAGACGGGGACAACGAUUGGAAACGAUCGCUAAUACCGGAUAGGACGAAAGUUUAAAGGUGCUUCUGGCACCGCUGAUGGAUGAGCCUGCGGCGCAUUAGCUAGUUGGUAGGGUAAAGGCCUACCAAGGCGACGAUGCGUAGCCGACCUGAGAGGGUGAACGGCCACACUGGGACUGAGACACGGCCCAGACUCCUAUGGGAGGCAGCAGUAGGGAAUCUUCGGCAAUGGGCGAAAGCCUGACCGAGCAACGCCGCGUGAAUGAUGAAGGCCUUCGGGUUGUAAAAUUCUGUUAUAAGGGAAGAACGACUUUAGUAGGAAAUGGCUAGAGUGUGACGGUACCUUAUGAGAAAGCCACGGCUAACUACGUGCCAGCAGCCGCUGUAA
rnacentral:rRNA from 1 species